rnacentral:rRNA from 1 species
AACGAACGCUGGUGGCGUGCUUAACACAUGCAAGUCGAACGAGAAAGCUUCUUUCGGGAGGUUAGUAAAGUGGCGCACGGGUGAGUAACACGUGAAUAAUCUGCCCUUGAGAUCGGGAUAACAUGGUGAAAACUAUGCUAAUACCGGAUAAGACCACAUUUCAUAAGAAAUGCGGGAAAAGGAAUCUCAAAUUUCGCUUAGGGAUGAGUUCGCGGAACAUUAGCUUGUUGGUGAGAUAAAAGCUCACCAAGGCUACGAUGUUUAGCCGGCCUGAGAGGGUGAUCGGCCACACCUGGAACUGAGACACGGUCCAGACUCCUACGGGAGGCAGCAGUGGGGAAUAUUGCGCAAUGGGCGAAAGCCUGACGCAGCAACGCCGUGUGAGCGAUG